CAUGGGGGGGGGGGAGUCCCUCAGCCUGGAUUGCGAGAGGGUGCAGGCCAGGCCGAGGGACUCCAUGGGUGCAUG
rfam:Myotis lucifugus cont2.10379, whole genome shotgun sequence.